rnacentral:rRNA from 1 species
AUGAAGGCAUGCACACAGUUCAUUGAUUUGUGGAGGCAAAAACAUGAGACUGGACAGUGGAUUGACGUUGAACCCGAAACAAUAAUGUCUACACGCUCUGAAUUUCCCCCCUUCAAUGCUUCUGGGAUUAUGUUUAUGGGAGAUAAGGAAACAAUGUCUGUCUCUAAUGGAGAUACAAAUGGCGAAGAUGCUGCUAAAGCUGAUCACAGGGCACCUCACCACCCAGGAGCUCCCCAUGAGUACCAUCAUGGUCCAUAUCAAUCAGGAUAUCCACCAUGGGCAUACUACCCUGGGGCGAACCCAUAUUACCCUCCUCCCUAUCCCCCAACAGAUGAUCCCAGGUACAGCCACUUGGAAAGGAGACCAUCAAGGAAGCACUCAGCAGACAGCAAGGACUUCGACAACUCCGAUGAUGAAAGUGACGACCAAAGCGGUUCAGAGAGGGAGAGUUCUCAUGGCCGCAAGUCCAGUAAAAAAGGCAAGCGCUCAGGCAAGAAGAAUGUAAUUGUCUUACGCAAUGUAAAUGUAACAUCAAAGAAGAAGCAUAGGUCAUCAAAGAGCGAGUCACACUCAGGCUCAGAUAUGUCAUCAGAGGAUAGUGAUGAUUCACACAGGAAAUCAAGCAAGAGGAAUCAUAAGCGCUCGAGUUCGAAGAAAAAAGGGGGCAAGAAAACCAUUGAGUCUAAAGAUGAUUACACCAAGGAUGGAAUGUCUAAUGGGCUGCAAGAUGGAGAUCAACCUUUUCGGAAAAAAGCAAGAUGGAGAUCAAGGAAACUGGAAUGCGUUCCAGAACUUCUUGCUCAGAGAUGA